UACAGAGGUCUCAAGCGUUGUUCGGAUUCAUUGGGCGUAAAGGGUGCGUAGGUGGCGUCGUGAGUGGGUUGUGAAAUCCCGGGGCUUAACCCCGGGACUGCAUUCCAUACUGCGGUGCUUGAGGACUGGAGAGGUGAGUGGAAUUCCCAGUGUAGCGGUGAAAUGCGUAGAUAUUGGGAGGAACACCAGUGGCGAAGGCGGCUCACUGGACCGGUUCUGACGCUGAGGCGCGAAAGCGUGGGGAGCAAACAGG
rnacentral:rRNA from 1 species